rnacentral:rRNA from 1 species
GCCGGCGACCGGCGCACGGGUGAGUAACACGUAUGCAACCUGCCUCAAACAGGGGGAUAAGCGGCGGAAACGCCGUCUAAUACCGCGUAUGAUACCGGAAGGCAUCUUCCGGUGUUGAAAGAUUUAUUGGUUUGAGAUGGGCAUGCGGCGCAUUAGCUUGUUGGCGGGGUAACGGCCCACCAAGGCGACGAUGCGUAGGGGUUCUGAGAGGAAGGUCCCCCACACUGGUACUGAGACACGGACCAGACUCCUACGGGAGGCAGCAGUGAGGAAUAUUGGUCAAUGGGCGGGAGCCUGAACCAGCCAAGUCGCGUGAGGGAAGACGGCCCUAAGGGUUGUAAACCUCUUUUGUCAGGGAGCAAAAGGCGUACGAGUGCGUUUUUGAGAGUACCUGAAGAAAAAGCAUCGGCUAACUCCGUGCCAGCAGCCGCGGUAAUACGGAGGAUGCGAGCGUUAUCCGGAUUUAUUGGGUUUAAAGGGUGCGUAGGCGGGGCUGCAAGUCAGCGGUAAAAUAGUGGGGCUCAACCCCAUCGUGCCGUUGAAACUGCGGUUCUUGAGUGAGUGAGAGGUAUGCGGAAUGCGUGGUGUAGCGGUGAAAUGCAUAGAUAUCACGAAGAACUCCGAUU